rnacentral:rRNA from 1 species
AACGAACGCUGGCGGCAUGCCUAAUACAUGCAAGUCGAACGAUCACUUCGGUGAUAGUGGCGCACGGGUGCGUAACGCGUGGGAAUCUGCCCUUGGGUUCGGAAUAACAGCUGGAAACGGCUGCUAAUACCGGAUGAUGACGUAAGUCCAAAGAUUUAUCGCCCAGGGAUGAGCCCGCGUAGGAUUAGCUAGUUGGUGGGGUAAAGGCCUACCAAGGCGACGAUCCUUAGCUGGUCUGAGAGGAUGAUCAGCCACACUGGGACUGAGACACGGCCCAGACUCCUACGGGAGGCAGCAGUAGGGAAUAUUGGACAAUGGGGGCAACCCUGAUCCAGCAAUGCCGCGUGAGUGAUGAAGGCCUUAGGGUUGUAAAGCUCUUUUACCCGAGAUGAUAAUGACAGUAUCGGGAGA